CUGGUGGGCUGCGGGUCGCGCAGAGUCCGACACAACUGAAGCGACUCAGCAGCAGCAGCAGGUUCCUAGACUAUGCUGCACCCAUUAGAGCUUCAAGAAUGGCAAAAUCUGUUCAAGGAUCUCUGGAGAAUUUGGAGUUCUAGAUACAUGGAUCAACUCUUUCCCACCAUAGAGAUCCUUUUUUACUAUGAAGUUUGACAAUUUGUAAGUCAUGGAAAUACCACUGCUCAAGAUAUAAAGUAUUUUAAUCACUCCAAAGUUUCCUGACAUCCAUUCAUGGUCACUUUUAUCCCUCUCCCAGAGGCGCUGCCAACCACUGAUCUGAUUGUCACUAUAGAUUUGUUUUUUCCAGAAUGCCAGAUAAACAGAACCAUAAAGUAUGCUGCCUUUUAGGGCUGACUUAUUUUAUUGUGCAUAAUGUUUUUGAAAGGAAUCCAUGUUUCUGUGAGAAUCAGUAGCUUGGAUUUGUUAUAACUGAAUAAAAAUUUGUAGUAUGGGUGUACUACAGUAUAUUUAUCUGUUUACUAGUCAAAGAACAUUGCUUUAUUUCCCAUUUUUUGCAAUCAGGAACAAAGUCUCAAAGAAUAUCCAUAUGUAAAUUUUUGUGUGGAUAUUUGUUUCUGUUUCAAAGUGACUAUAACAUUGAUCAGGUCUGAUAGACAGAGUGACUGAUGAACUAUGGACAGAGGUUUGUGAUGUUGUACAGGAGACAGGGAUCAAGAGCAUCCCCAAGAAAAAGAAAUGUAAAAAAGGAAAAUGGCUGU